UACGUAGGGGGCAAGCGUUGUCCGGAAUCAUUGGGCGUAAAGAGCGUGUAGGCGGCCCGAUAAGUCCGCUGUGAAAGUCCAGGGCUCAACCCUGGAAUGCCGGUGGAUACUGUCGGGCUCGAAUCCGGAAGAGGUGAGUGGAAUUCCUGGUGUAGCGGUGAAAUGCGCAGAUAUCAGGAGGAACACCGGUGGCGAAGGCGGGAUCCUGGGCCAGUACUGACGCUGAGGAGCGAAAGCGUGGGGAGCAAACAGG
rnacentral:rRNA from 1 species